AUUGAACGCUGGCGGCAGGCCUAACACAUGCAAGUCGAACGAGUGGCGGACGGGUGAAUAAUGUCUGGGAAACUGCGCGAUGGAGGGGGAUAACUACUGGAAACGGUCUCUAAUACCGCAUACCAUCGGAUGUGCCCAGAUGGGAUUAGCUAGUAGGUGGGGUAAUGGCACACCUAGGCGACGAUCCCUAGCUGGUCUGAGAGGAUGACCAGCCACACGGGAACUGAGACACGGCCCAGACUCCUACGGGAGGCAGCAGUGGGGAAUAUUGCACAAUGGGCGCAAGCCUGAUGCAGCCAUGCCGCGUGUAUGAAGAAGGCCGUCGGGUUGUAAAGUACUUUCAGCGGGGAGGCGUUACCCGCAGAAGAAGCACCGGCUAACUCCGUGCCAGCAGCCGCGGUAAUUC
rnacentral:rRNA from 1 species